rnacentral:tRNA from 1 species
GGCCUCGUAGCGCAGCUGGUUGAGGGCAUGCGUAUACAAAACGAAGGCGGCGUCCAUGAGUGGGUUCGAAUCCCACCGAGUCUG